ACUGCUUGAUUCAGUCGUUCUUUCUUAGUUUUGAGUUGUUAUGGUUGCUGAGAAAAUGGUUUGGAGCUGAGGUUGCGGCUGCCGCCAUUGCGGGCCGAGGAAGAACGAGUUUGUGGCGCAUUUUUGAGUUUUCGAGUUUUGCGUAUUGAGGAUAUGGACGCAGAAGUCACGAAGAAUU